rnacentral:rRNA from 1 species
UACAGAGGGGGCAAGCGUUGUUCGGAAUUACUGGGCGUAAAGGGCGCGUAGGCGGCCCGCUAAGUCGAACGUGAAAUCCCCGAGCUCAACUCGGGAACUGCGUCCGAUACUGGCGGGCUUGAAUCCGGGAGAGGGAUGCGGAAUUCCAGGUGUAGCGGUGAAAUGCGUAGAGAUGGGGGAGAACACUCGUGGCGAAGGCGGCCAGCUAGACCAGUUCUGACACUGAGGCGCGAUAGCGUGGGGAGCAAACAGG